UAGGGAAUCUUCCGCAAUGGACGAAAGUCUGACGGAGCAACGCCGCGUGAGGGAAGAAGGAUUUCGGUUCGUGAAACCCUGUUGUUAGGGAAGAAAAAAUGUAUAGUAACUAUAUACAAAAGAGACGGUACCUAACCAGAAAGCCACGGCUAACUACGUGCCAGCAGCCGCGGUAAUACGAAGGUGGCAAGCGUUGUCCGGAAUUAUUGGGCGUAAAGCGCGCGCAGGUGGUUUAGAAAGUCAGAUGUGAAAGCCCACGGCUCAACCGUGGAGGGUCAUUGGAAACUAAAAAACGUGAGGGCAGGAGAGAAAAGUGGAAUUCCUAGGGUAGCGGUGAAAUGCGUAGCGCUUAGGAGGAACACCAGUGGGGAACGCGGCUUUUUGGCCUGCAACUGACACUGAGGCGCAAAAGCGUGGGGAGCAAACAGG
rnacentral:rRNA from 1 species